GUUCUUGUAGUUGAAUUACAAUGAUGGCUUUUCAGGCUGUUGGUUUCGGUGUAAGUCCGAAUUGGAAUA
rnacentral:tRNA from 2 species